rnacentral:rRNA from 1 species
GACGAACGCUGGCGGCGUGCCUAAUACAUGCAAGUAGAACGCAGUUGCGAACGGGUGAGUAACGCGUAUGUCACUGCCUCUUAGAGGGGGAUAACUAUUGGAAACGAUAGCUACUACCGCAUACUAGUAGAUGGACCUGCGUUGUAUUAGCUAGUAGGUCGGGUAAUGGCCUACCUAGGCGACGAUACAUAGCCGAACUGAGAGGGGGGUCAGCCAAACGGGGAAUGAGACAAGGCACAGACUACUACGGGAAGCAGCAGGAGGGAAUAUUCGGGAAUGGGGGGAACCCUUGCCGGGCAACGCCGCGGGAGUGAAGAAGGUUUUCGGAUCGGAAAGCUCUGUUGGUAAGGAAGCGGUACUUAACCAGAAAGGGACGGCUAACUACGUGCCAGCAGCCGCGGUAAUUC